AUUGAACGCUGGCGGCAGGCCUAGCACAUGCAAGUCGAGCGGAUGAAAGGAGCUUGCUCCUUGAUUUAGCGGCGGACGGGUGAGUAAUGCCUAGGAAUCUGCCUGGUAGUGGGGGAUAACGUUCCGAAAGGAACGCUAAUACCGCGUACGUCCUACGGGAGAAAGCAGGGGACCUUCGGGCCUUGCGCUAUCAGAGGAGCCUAGGUCGGAUUAGCUAGUUGGUGAGGUAAUGGCUCACCAAGGCGACGAUCCGUAACUGGUCUGAGAGGAUGAUCAGUCACACUGGAACUGAGACACGGUCCAGACUCCUACGGGAGGCAGCAGUGGGGAAUAUUGGACAAUGGGCGAAAGCCUGAUCCAGCCAUGCCGCGUGUGUGAAGAAGGUCUUCGGAUUGUAAAGCACUUUAAGUUGGGGGGAAGGGCGUUUGGCUAAUAUCCAGGCGUUUUGACGUUACCAACAGAAUAAGCACCGGCUAACUUCGUGCCAGCCGCCGCUGUAACAC
rnacentral:rRNA from 1 species